rnacentral:rRNA from 1 species
ACGUAGGGGGCGAGCGUUGUCCGGAAUUACUGGGCGUAAAGAGCACGUAGGCGGGUGAACAAGUCAGAUGUGAAAGACCGUGGCCCAACCACGGGGUUGCAUCUGAAACUGAACAUCUUGAGGGCAGGAGAGGGCAGUGGAAUUCCUGGUGUAGCGGUGAAAUGCGUAGAAAUCAGGAGGAACACCAGUGGCGAAGGCGGCUGUCUGGACUGACCCUGACGCUGAGGUGCGAAAGCGUGGGUAGCAAACAGGAUUAGAUACCCUGGUAGUCCACGCUGUAAACGAUGGAUACUAGGUGUGGGAGGUAUCGACCCCUUCCGUGCCGCAGCUAACGCAAUAAGUAUCCCGCCUGGGGAGUACGGCCGCAAGGCUGAAACUCAAAGGAAUUGACGGGGGCCCGCACAAGCGGUGGAGCAUGUGGUUUAAUUCGAUGCAACGCGAAGAACCUUACCAGGUCUUGACAUCCAAAGAAUUCUUACGAAAGUAGGAAGUGCCUUCGGGAGCUUUGAGACAGGUGGUGCAUGGUUGUCGUCAGCUCGUGUCGUGAGAUGUUGGGUUAAGUCCCGCAACGAGCGCAACCCUUGCUAUUAGUUGCUAACAUUUCGGAUGAGCACUCUAAUGGGACUGCCCGUGACAAGCGGGAGGAAGGUGGGGAUGACGUCAAAUCAUCAUGCCCUUUAUGAUCUGGGCUACACACGUGCUACAAUGGAUGGUACAGAGAGCAGCGAGACUGCGAAGUGGAGCGAAUCUCAAAAAGCCAUUCUCAGUUCGGAUUGUAGUCUGCAACUCGACUACAUGAAGUCGGAAUCGCUAGUAAUCGCGAAUCAGCAUGUCGCGGUGAAUGCGUUCCCGGGCCUUGUACACACCGCCCGUCACACCACGAAAGUCGGCAACACCCGAAGCCGGUGAGCUAACUGCAAAGAGGCAGCCGUCGAAGGUGGGGUUGGUAAUUGGGGUGAAGUCGUAACAAGGUAUCCGUACCGGAAGGUGCGGAUG